rnacentral:rRNA from 1 species
GCAUAAUCACUCGCCCUUUAAUUGUGGGCUGGUAUGAAAGGAUAAACGAAGGAAACACUGUCUCCUUAAUUAAUAUAAAAUUUGCCCUUUAGGUGAAGAUGCCUAAAUAAAAUUAGAAGACAAGAAGACCCCAUAGAGCUUAGUUAUUAAACCCUAACAUUAUUAAAUAUUUAUAUACAUUUAUUCCGGCCUAACAACUUAGCUGGGGCGGCUAAGGAAAUAAAUCUUCCAUUUAUUCUUAUAAGGCCUAUAAGCCAAAUAAAAUCGACCCUAUUUCUGAUCAAAAAAUAAAGCUACCUUGGGGCUAACAGAUUAAUCCUUCUUAAGAGUUCACAUUAACAGAAGGGCUUGACACCUCGAUGUUGGCUUAAGGUACCCACAGGGUCAGCAACAGCCCUGAAAGGUAGGUUUGUUCAACCUUUAAAACCUU